GCAAAUAUAGUUUAACUAAAACAUAAGAUUGUGAAUCUAAAGUUGAAGGUUAAACCUUCUUAUCUGUC
rnacentral:tRNA from 1 species